GUAGGUGGCAAGCGUUGUCCGGAAUUAUUGGGCGUAAAGCGCGCGCAGGCGGUUCUUUAAGUCUGAUGUGAAAGCCCACGGGCUCAACCGUGGAGGGUCAUUGGAAACUGGAGAACUUGAGUACAGAAGAGGAAAGCGGAAUUCCACGUGUAGCGGUGAAAUGCGUAGAGAUGUGGAGGAACACCAGUGGCGAAGGCGGCUUUCUGGUCUGUAACUGACGCUGAGGCGCGAAAGCGCGGGGAGCAAACAGGAUUAGAUACCCUGGUAGUCCACGCCGUAAACGAUGAGUGCUAAGUGUUAGGGGGUUUCCGCCCCUUAGUGCUGCAGCUAACGCAUUAAGCACUCCGCCUGGGGAGUACGGCCGCAAAGGCUG
rnacentral:rRNA from 1 species